CUUCUUUCUUCACACGACUUCCUUUGUUAUCUCAGCUCCACGGCUCUGUUUCCAUAUCUUCCUCAUAAUACUCUCUCUUCUCUCUCGCACAAACUCUUGGCUCAAACUCCCAACAACUAUGAACAGAACCCUUUUUGUCUCUCAUGAUCUUCUUCCACGGAACAAACAAUAACAACAACAACUCUCAUCUUAUUUCUAAUUUCUCAUGUCACCUCUCUGUUUGUUUGAUUUCAAUCAAUUUAAUCUAAACACAACAACAACAACUCUGGUAAAAAAAACCUCACGGUUUAAACAACUACUCUAAUUUGAUUCUCCAACAAAACACAGAAACACAACUACAAUAUUAAACAAGAAUCCACAUGAAUAUAUUGGAAAGGAAGAGAGCACUUACAAGCUCGGAGCAAGUCAGAGAGUUUCGACACCGACACCGACGAUAAAGAAAACCGACACCGACGAUAAAGAAAACCAGAGCUGCGUGUGAUGCGUGAAGUUGUUCGCUGAACCUAUGAUUUGCUGCGUUACCGUUGAAGUUGAACGUCGCGUUGAAGGAGAUAGACGUAUUGCUCGCAGAUGCGCUUCUGAACAAUUGAACUAAAUUGAUGCAGAACGGUGGUGUAUGUUGCUGAUCGGAAGUUAAUGAACGUUGUUGUUCUCAGUUCAAAGCUUCACAGUCAGAUGCGAAGUUGCUUGUUGUUGGUGCUUGCAGAUCAGUUGUGGAAUCGGUGUUGAGUUGUUCAAAGCAGUGAAGGUAGCAUAACAAUAGUUUUCUUUCUCCUUUUUUUUGUUGAAUGAGCAACUCUAUUUAUAGCUGAGAGAUUUGAGAUUUUGGUGAAAGAAUUUGUGGGAAAACAAGAGAAUUUUGAAGAAGUUUGUUACAGAUUUUGAAGAGGAAUCCGGGUGAGGUUAUUUGAGUGAAUACUGACCACUGAUAAAAUUCAAAUGAAUGGAUCAGAUUGAGUUUGGAAUGAUCCUGUUGUUGUUUUGUAAAUGAGCAAGGAAGGUGUGACCAUCUUUUGAAUUGUAACAGUACUUUUCCAUUUUUAUUUGAAGUGGAUUUCGUUUUAGGCUGAAAACGUGAACUUCCCCGGUGAAGAGAAAAACGUGAAUUGGCUUUUGUGGGUUCCAACAUGUAA